rnacentral:lncRNA from 1 species
CCUAAAUAUCUCUUCCCUCCACUGGCAAUCCCUAGAUCUAACAAAAAAAAACUUGAAUCUUUCUCUCCUCUUUGCCGACGGGUUCUUGAUCGGUGCAAAGAGCUCCAAUUUCUCCCUCCUUUUCGGUCCUUAUUUGUUCCCUCUUGAUUUUUUAUUUAAUUUUAUUAUUUUUUAAUUAAUUUUGUUUAAUUUUUAUUUUUAUUAUAUUAUUUGAUUAUUUUAUUUAUUUCUUGAUUAAUUUUUAUUAUAUAUAUUUGUUUGUGUAAUAGGUGUCUACACUAACUUUUUUGGUGAGUUCUUGGACCGGAUCUAAGCCUAUUUGCCGAGCGUGGAGUUCUGGUUUUGCCGAGCGUAGACCGUUGUUGCUGCCGAUCUCCGUGCUUGCUCACUUUUUCCGGUUAGUGCUUGGACGGGAUCUUGUUGCUGAGCUUAUAAACAUGCUAUGUAAUUGAAGUUUGUUUAUGAAUGAAUUUCAAAACUGUUGAUGACUAUAAUUCCUCUUAAAGAUUCUAAACUAAU